rnacentral:rRNA from 1 species
GACGGGCAGCUUCCCGGAAACGAAAGUUUUUCGGUUCCGGGGGAAGUAUGGUUGCAAAGCUGAAACUUAAAGAAAUUGACGGAAGGGCACCACCAGGAGUGGAGCCUGCGGCUUAAUUUGACUCAACACGGGAAAACUCACCUGGCCCGGACACCGUGAGGAUUGACAGAUUGAGAGCUCUUUCAUGAUUCGGUGGUUGGUGGUGCAUGGCCGUUCUUAGUUGGUGGAGUGAUUUGUCUGGUUUAUUCCGAUAACGAGCGAGACUCUAGCCUACUAAAUAGUUUCUGAAUGAUCUUUUCKAGCUGUUCAKACAACUUCUUACAGGGACAAGCGGUGUUUAGCCGCAUGAAGUUGAGCAAUAACAKGUCUGUGAUGCCCUUAGAUGUCCAGGGCUGCACGCGCGCUACACUGGAGGAAUCACCGUGCUGUAACCAUUGCCGAAAGGUACUGGUAACCCCUUGAAAAUCCUCCGUGAUCGGGAUCGGGAAUUGCAAUUAUUUCCCUUGAACKAGGAAUUCCUAGUAAAUGUGAGUCAUCAGCUCACGUUGAUUACGUCCCUGCCCUUUGUACACACCGCCCGUCGCUGCCCGGGACUGAKCCGUUUCGAGAAAAACGGGGACUGCUGCUUCGAUACCUUUCGAGGUGGAGAUUCUUUGGUGGAAAUCGCUUUAAU